AAUCAUCAAAGAAAUCUAUAUUUGCAAAUGAUCUGCAUUUUAUGAGACUGUUUUCCGUCUUGAUUCUCUAUAUAAACGAAAAAUUGUAAUACUGUUGUUAGAAUAUUUGAAAAUCCGUGUGCGAAAUUUCAUUGAUUCCUAAAAUUCUCAACGAUGAGAGCCAUCCUUAUGACUAUGCUGUCCCUUACGUUGUUGGUUAAAUUUCGAAAUCAGUGCUUCUAGGGUCUGCUCAAAACAUGUAUUUACAAAUCAUAUAUAGUUUGUACUUUAAUAAAAUAGUACUUCUAAUUUAUGUCUGAGAAAUAAAUCUUUUGCAUUUGA